rnacentral:rRNA from 1 species
CCUACGGGCGGCAGCAGUGAGGAAUAUUGGUCAAUGGGCGCGAGCCUGAACCAGCCAAGUCGCGUGAGGAAGGACGGCCCUACGGGUUGUAAACCUCUUUUGCCGGGGAGCAACGGGCGCCACGUGUGGCGUCACUGAGAGUACCCGGAGAAAAAGCAUCGGCUAACUCCGUGCCAGCAGCCGCGGUAUACGGAGGAUGCGAGCGUUAUCCGGUUUUAUUGGGUUUAAGGGGUGCGAAGGCGGAGCGUUAAGUCAGUGGUCAAAUUGAGGGGCUCAACCCCUUCCCGCCAUUGAAAAUGGCGUUCUUGAGUGGAAGAGAAGUAUGCGGAAUGCGUGGUGUAGCGGGGAAAUGCAUAGAUAUCACGCAGAACCCCGAUUGCGAAGGCAGCAUGCCGGCUUCCGACUGACGCUGAAGCACGAAAGCGUGGGGAUCGAACAGGAUUAGAUACCCUUGUAGUC